rnacentral:lncRNA from 1 species
GGUGGGAAUUUUUUUUCCUCCAAAUUGUCUAAAUUAGCUGCUGCUAGCUUAAUCAGCGCUAAAGACUGACUGCGUUGAAAUGUUCGUAUUUUCACUUUUGAAAGGUUUUAGAAACUUUGUGGGGCAACUUCAAGACCUUCAAGACCACAGUUGUUCUGCUGGUUUCACCCAGGUGGGAAACAUUAACAAUUGCUAACGUUAACUGUUAUUGAAGACGCUACAGCCGAGCUUCUUCCGAACUUGUUUCUUGCCUUCCAGAUCACCUGAGAUCCACCUCCGAUCCAAACAGGUCUGCAGAGGCAGGAAGUGCCUCCUCACCUCAGCCACUAAUUAAAGAGGCAUUAGCCAGUGACAGAUGGUCCCCGGUCGGACAUGAGAGUGAGGAAAGUGGGGCAGCAGCCGAGCUUCCCCAGUGGAUGCUGGACCAGCGCUCACAAACACAGCGAGAGAGGACCGCAGAUGGCCCGGAACCCUUUCCAGGGUUCAUC